UAAAACUUUAAUAUUGAAUCCACAAUCACUUGAACAGAUUUUAAGAGAUCUGUCCCAAGAAUGCAUAAUUAUCCUGCCAGGAGAAAAGAGCUGCGAAACAAUGUCGUCUAUUGUUGAGAAUGAAGAUAUGAGUGCAAAAGGAUCUAAGAAAGGUUUGUGGGAAUUUUUAAAGAGAAGAAAACGCGACUACGAAAUCAAUACCUCUAAUAAUAUGAUAUCUAGCAUUCUUCAGCAGCUUCGUCAAUAAAUAGCCGAUACUACAAUAAUUGAACUAGAUGAAGAUCCAUUAACCUGGUGGCAAACUCAAGGUUCUAAAACAUACCCUCUUGUAACAUGUCUAGCACAGGUUUAUUUACAAAUACCGGGA